UACGUAGGGGGCAAGCGUUACUCGGAAUUACUAGGCGUAAAGGGCAGGUAGGUGGUUUGGUUAGUCUGUUGUGAAAGCUCCUUGCUUAACGGGGAGAGGUCAACAGAUACUGCCAGACUUGAGUAUGGGAGAGGGUACUGGAAUUCCUGGUGUAGCGGUGAAAUGCGCAGAGAUCAGGAGGAACACCGAUGGCGAAGGCAGCUCGCUGGGACGGUACUGACGCUGAGACGCGAAAGCGUGGGGAGCGAACAGG
rnacentral:rRNA from 1 species